rnacentral:rRNA from 1 species
UACAUAGGGUGCAAGCGUUGUCCGGAAUUAUUGGGCGUAAAGAGCUCGUAGGUUGUUUGACACGCCGGAUGUGAAAAUCUGAGGCUUAACCUCAGACCUGCAUUCGAUACGGUCUAACUAGAGUGUGGUAGGGGAGACUGGAAUUCCUGGUGUAGCGGUGGAAUGCGCAGAUAUCAGGAGGAACACCAAUGGCGAAGGCAGGUCUCUGGGCCAUUACUGACACUGAGGAGCGAAAGCGCGGGGAGCGAACAGGAUUAGAUACCCUGGUAGUCCGCGCCGUAAACGGUGGGCACUAGUUGUGGGAACCUUCCACGGUUUCCGCGACGCAGCUAACGCAUUAAGUGCCCCGCCUGGGGAGUACGAUCGCAAGAUUAAAACUCAAAGGAAUUGACGGGGCCCCGCACAAGCAGCGGAGCAUGCGGCUUAAUUCGACGCAACGCGAAGAACCUUACCAAGGCUUGACAGUUAGAGAAAAGCUACAGAGAUGUAGUGUCCGCAAGGGCUCUAUUCAGGUGGUGCAUGGUUGUCGUCAGCUCGUGUCGUGAGAUGUUGGGUUAAGUCCCGCAACGAGCGCAACCCUCGUUCUGUGUUGCCAGCAUUUAGUUGGGGACUCACAGGAGACUGCCGGGGUCAACUCGGAGGAAGGUGGGGAUGACGUCAAAUCAUCAUGCCCCUUAUGUCUUGGGCUGCACGCAUGCUACAAUGGCCGGUACAAAGGGCUGCGAUACCGUAAGGUGGAGCGAAUCCCAAAAAGCCGGUCUCAGUUCGGAUUGAGGUCUGCAACUCGACCUCAUGAAGUUGGAGUUGCUAGUAAUCGUAGAUCAGCAACGCUACGGUGAAUACGUUCCCGGGGCU